rnacentral:miRNA from 12 species
CCUACCCAGAAAAGUGCUGAUG